rnacentral:rRNA from 1 species
CCGUUUUGGGGACGCGGAGGGACAUUACCGAGUUUACAACUCCCAAACCCAAUGUGAACGUUACCAAACUGUUGCCUCGGCGGGAUCUCUGCCCCGGGUGCGUCGCAGCCCCGGACCAAGGCGCCCGCCGGAGGACCAACCAAAACUCUUUUGUAUACCCCCUCGCGGGUUUUUAUAUCUGAGCCAUCUCGGCGCCUCUCGUAGGCGUUUCGAAAAUGAAUCAAAACUUUCAACAACGGAUCUCUUGGUUCUGGCAUCGAUGAAGAACGCAGCGAAAUGCGAUAAGUAAUGUGAAUUGCAGAAUUCAGUGAAUCAUCGAAUCUUUGAACGCACAUUGCGCCCGCCAGUAUUCUGGCGGGCAUGCCUGUCCGAGCGUCAUUUCAACCCUCGAACCCCUCCGGGGGGUCGGCGUUGGGGAUCGGCCCUUUACGGGGCCGGCCCCGAAAUACAGUGGCGGUCUCGCCGCAGCCUCUCCUGCGCAGUAGUUUGCACACUCGCAUCGGGAGCGCGGCGCGUCCAUUGCCGUAAAACACCCAACUUUCUGAAAUGUUGACCUCGGAUCAGGUAGGAAUACCCGCUGAACUUAAGCAUAUCAAUAGCCCGGAGGAA